AUUGAACGCUGGCGGGAUGCUUAACACAUGCAAGUCGAACGGCAGCGCGGUCUUCGCUCGGGCUGCGAGUGGCGAACGGGUGGGUAAUGUAUCAGAACAUGCGCAUUAGCUUUUGAUCACUACGUAACGGCGUAGCUAAUACCGCAAUCCCCCUACGGGCGUACGCAGGAGAGCGUAGGACCUUGCGCUCUUGGAGGGGCCGAUGUCGGAUUAGCUAGUUGGCGAGGUAAAGGCUCACCAAGGCGACGAUCCGUAGCUGGUUUGAGAGGACGAUCAGCCACACUGGGACUGAGACACGGCCCAGACUCCUACGGGAGGCAGCAGUGGGGAAUAUUGGACAAUGGGGGCAAGCCUGAUCCAGCCAUACCGCGUGUGUGAUGAAGGCCUUCGGGUUGUAAAGCACUUUUGGCAGGAAAGAAACGCCGCGGGCUAAUACCCCGCGGAACUGACGGUACCCGCAGAAUAAGCACCGGCUAACUACGUG
rnacentral:rRNA from 1 species